CUGACAUGGUGUCUGAGAUCAUGGACCUCAUGGGCAGGGACAUGCAUGAGCGCUGGUUCCUCCUCUUUCUGGUGGCAGCUCCCGGAUGUGUCCUAUCCCAGGUGCAGCUGCAAGAGUCGGGACCAAGCCUGCUGAUGCCCUCGCAGACGCUAUCUCUCACCUGUUCGGUUUCCAGAUUCUCUAUAACCAGCAAUGGUGUGCACUGGGUCCGCCAGGCCCCUGGAAAGGGGCUGGAUUGGAUUGGUGUUAUAGGUACUGGUGGGGACAAAUACUAUAACCCAAGUCUUCAGUCCCGAGUCAGCAUCUCCAGGGACACCACCAAGAACCAAGUUUACCUAAAACUGAGCAACUCAGUAACUGAGGACACAGCCGUGUAUUAUUGUGCA